AUCACUUCUAGGCCUUUUGGCUAAGAUCAGGUGUAGUAUCUGUUCUUAUCAGUUUAAUGUUUUGUUUUGUUUUUUUAAUUUAUUUCUAGGAGAAAGAGAGAGACAGCGUGAGCAGGGGAGGGUCAGAGAGAGAGGGCGUCACAGACUGAAACAGGCCCCAGGCUCUGAGCUGGCAGUCAGCACAGAGCCCGAUGC